rnacentral:rRNA from 1 species
ACUCAAAGGAAUUGACGGGGAUCCGCACAAGCGGUGGAACAUGUGGUUUAAUUCGACACUACGCGAGGAACCUUACCUGGGCUUGACAUGCCUUUGACCGCCAUAGAGAUAUGGCUUUCCAGGAUUUAUUCUGGACAAUUGCACAGGUGCUGCAUGGCUGUCGUCAGCUCGUGUCGUGAGAUGUUAGGUUAAGUCCUCUAACGAGCGCAACCCUUGCUACCAGUUGCUAUCUGCUUGCAGAGCACUCUGGUGGGACUGCCUGGGAAACCAGGAGGAAGGUGGGGACGACGUCAAGUCAUCAUGGUCCUUAUGCCCAGGGCUACACACGUGUUACAAUGGCCGGUACAAAGGGUUGCAAAACCGUAAGGUGAAGCUAAUCUCAUAAAGCCGGUCUAAGUUCGGAUUGAGGUCUGCAACUCGACCUCAUGAAGUUGAAAUCGCUAGUAAUCGCGUAUCAGCAACGACGCGGUGAAUACGUUCACGGAUCUUGUACACACCGCCCGU